CAAUUGAGUUCCUUCGACCACAACAAGAAACAGCAGUGCACAUUGGCGAAUUUAUAUUAUUCUAUCGAAUUUUGCCGAUACGUCUAAAGGUUGAAAAACACUUUUUUGCCAACAGAAAAUCAUUCACAAUGAAAUGCGAAGCAACAGUUGGACAUUAUACACAUUUAACCCGAUCGAAAAAUGCACGCGUUUUCAUUGUAUCUACCGAUGACUUGACAAAUCAGAAACUAAUCAAUUCAAAAAGUGAAGCAUCAUUGACAGUGGUCCGAUCUAAAACAUUAAACGUAUUCAUAUUAGUUUGUUUAUUAGUAGCAAUACAUUUAAACUAAUAAUGAAACGAACUCCUAACAUGAAAAAGGAAUAUUUAAGUUGAAGAAAUUACAAGUGAAGAAAUUUACAAAUGUUAGAGACAACAGCUAAGAGGAAGAUAAAGAAUUCAAACAGCAAUAUAUAUUUUAUUUGAGCCUUUUUUCAGAGACAUUCGGCUCAGGGGAGCGACGUGAAACGUACGAUUAAAAACUUGACAUCAGAGCUUAACUAAAAAUGGUACAAACUCUCAAUAGAUGGCGCUUAUAAAUCGACAAAGACACUUACAUUUUAU